GAUUAGUUAAAUGAAAGCUGCUAACUUUUUAUUAGUUAAUAACUACUAAUUA
rnacentral:tRNA from 1 species